CUUGACCGACCCCAGCCACAGCGGUUGCUCGCGGUCCUGGCCGUACGUGGCGAGCAAGGCCUGCGCCUC
rfam:Kutzneria albida DSM 43870, complete genome.